CAAGAACUACUUGUAUGAAAGUAUUUCAAAAUUGGCCUAGCGGUUUAGGAAGGAUGUUGUUUGAAGAUUUUCCUAUUUUUAGCUCUGGCUGCCCCUAUGGGCAAUACAGCAGAACCGUAAGAAGACCAUCCAAGGCACAUCCAGGCCAAGCUUCAUCAACUUCCACCGAACGGUUUCAAAGCAGAGGUUGUUUGAAGGAAAGUGUGGAUGGACGGACAACAGUCAGACAGCUGGUGAGUGAUCAACAAUAGCUCAAUCCGAGAAAAAAUGUGUUUAUCAGAAGUAUGUCCUCCGAAACACACAUGCAUGAAUCAUGAUCAGUGCAUGACCACAAUGCAGAAUAGAUUGGAAUCACAGAGAGACAUCAUCAAACAGAUCACAUUAAUGUUUCAAUAUGAAAUUGUUGGAAUGAAGUUCCCGAACAUGACUCCAGUGCUUCUGAAGCUGCAUAAAGCCAACAGAACUCCAAAAAUGUUUUUUUUCUGUUGUAUAAACUAUCAAUAAAUUAUUAUUUAAUAAAUUUUAACUUGAACAGAAGUCAUUCUUAUUUUUAUCAAGAAAUUUCCUGGGAUCUUGG
rnacentral:lncRNA from 1 species